GUUGCCGAGGUGUGCUGGAGGGCUGAUACCCCUGCGGCCCCCGCCGCCGCCGACCUCAGCGUCCAGCUUGUCGGCUCGUUUGUCCUCGUGGAUCCAAAAAAUUUUGAUAAAAGGCGUCGAUACAGUUGCAGCAAUCGUAGGAUCGCGAUCGAUUUCUAGAACGAUCUGUUCGUGCACCACUGUCCACCAGUAAGAAACACCGUGUCACCAAUUUCGACUUCUUUUAUCGAUUUACAGAAUUUCGAAACAUUCUUAUCACAAUUCACUGGCGUAUCGCGUCGUGGCCCUUCGCGCGUAGGGAGACGGGAACAAUGACAAUAUCGAACCCGCGACGUCGAUCCGUCUCGCUCUAGUUUUGUUCGUACGAUCUCCAACGCUCGAGGCAUUAGAGCAAUCACAAAUUUGUUUCUUUUCAGAAUUUGUACACUGCCUGCCUCACUUCGGUUGACCAUAAAAUUUCAAAUAAAUGGAAUGGAUCGAGACUCACGGACACCGAAUGUGUGUCGAAAUGCUGCUCGUCGCACAUUCACCGACAUCUUGCAUGGUACCAGAAAUAUACUAAAGGGUUGAAGCGGUUCGCGGGAGUCGGGUAAAGGACGCAGGGAGAAGAACAACGGUUUCAGUUUCAAAUCGCGCGUCUCGCAGUGCGGCGCGCGACGGAGCGGGCGCGAGAUUUCCGAGCGGAUCGGCUAGGAAUCGAGACCGAUCUCGACUCGAUCGAUGACAUCCGCGCGGCUACGAACCUGUUCGUCCAUUCUUCGCCCCCCCGUCGAGGAUGUUAGCGUGUGCAUUCGUCCAGCGGGAACCACGCGUUCACGGGUGUGGACAAUGACGACGACGAGUCGGCGUGCUGCGUAUCCGCUUUAAGGGCUGUCCGUCGCAGACGCAUGCUCGCGGCACGUUGCAGCCUCUCGCACUGACCGCGCGCAACACGUAAGAGAGAGCCGCCGAGUAUGUACUGUGCAAGUAGAUAUGCACUUGUCUCUCUUUCCCUCUCCCCUUUAGCCACAGCAGGCCGGCUUCGUCGUUCACGGUUCUAGACGAUUCCCGGUCGCCUCUUUCAGCCUCAGCCUCGACGAGCGGUGGCCGCGGCUUUUUCACGGUGGGAAGACCGGAAGGACAGCAAACGCAGGAGACACGGGUCUCUCGUCACUCUGAACUCUCUUUGAAUCUCUUGCGCACUAACUUCGCGGCUAUCCACUGUACUCCACGGGGAACGUUGAACGCGAGCCUGGAAUUGCCGUGGCGCCACCCCUCCUCCCCUCCUCCACCCAUCCACCUGAUCGUCUUCCUCAGCGAGUGCCACACCACAGGGCCUGUGCUGCCUCCUCCGCCUUGCACCUCCCUAUUUUUCCCUAUAAUUUACUCCGCGGCUGCCUCGUUUUUGUUUUAUUACGUUUUCGUAACACCCUUCUCACCCCUCACCGUGUCUCUCGCGCUCUCAUUCGGCCACCGUCUCGCUUUUCCUUCUCUCACCUUCUUCUCCGCGUUCUCUAAACCCUCUUUUUCCUUCUCCCUUGAUCAUCUGACUUUCCCUCUCUCGCUCGUCUCUUCUACCUCUCUAUCUUCGCAUCUGCCUCUUUCGCUUCUACCUCUACGUGCCAGCCAUGAAUCCUUACCGGGGCAACGGCGCGCCGCCCCCUUAAUGGGUCUACAGGGGCUUUUUCCAUUCACAGUGCAGCCAUCUCUUGGCUCAAGUACGAAUGUAACAACUCGUUACAGUGCCGCACAUGUUACAAUAAUUUACCUCAAAGCAAGUUUCAUCGCGCAAUCGCAUUUGUACAUAAGUCGCCGUACCGUAGACAAAGUCUGAAGACGCUCUUACAUUUCUUAGAAGAAAAAGAUACUGGUUUAUUAAAGGUAAGAAAUCAUCACAGAUUGUGAAGGGUCCACGGUUUUUGGAAGCGGAUGAACGUUAUUGUGCCCCUUGGGCGGGACUCACGAUGUAUCGUAUGACAGGAAGAUGUCAUGGUGGAACCUGAUAUACGACAAGGGGAUGAUUCGUUAUUAUGUGAACUUUUCACGGACGGACGUACCACAGAUACGCAAUGGUUUAUCGAAGCGAAUUACGAAGAUCAUUCCUCAAGUCAAACACUGUGUUUAUAUACAUA